rnacentral:rRNA from 1 species
UGGGGAAUAUUGGACAAUGGGCGCAAGCCUGAUCCAGCCAUGCCGCGUGGGUGAAGAAGGCCUUCGGGUUGUAAAGCCCUUUUGUCCGGAAAGAAAAGCACUGGAUUAAUACUUCGGUGUUCUGACGGUACCGGAAGAAUAAGCACCGGCUAACUUCGUGCCAGCAGCCGCGGUAAUACGAAGGGUGCAAGCGUUACUCGGAAUUACUGGGCGUAAAGCGUGCGUAGGUGGUUCGUUAAGUCUGAUGUGAAAGCCCUGGGCUCAACCUGGGAAUUGCAUUGGAUACUGGCGGGCUAGAGUGCGGUAGAGGAUGGCGGAAUUCCCGGUGUAGCAGUGAAAUGCGUAGAGAUCGGGAGGAACAUCUGUGGCGAAGGCGGCUGGCUGGACCGGUUCUGACGCUGAUGCGCGAAAGCGUGGGUAGCAA